rnacentral:rRNA from 1 species
CAGCCGCCGCGGUAAUACCAGCCCCGCGAGUGGUCGGGACGGUUAUUGGGCCUAAAGCGCCCGUAGCCGGCCCGGCAAGUCCCUCCUUAAAGCCUCGGGCCCAACCCGAGGACGGGGGGGAUACUGCCGGGCUAGGGGGCGGGAGAGGCCGGCGGUACUCCCGGGGUAGGGGCGAAAUCCGUUAAUCCCGGGAGGACCACCAGUGGCGAAGGCGGCCGGCUGGAACGCGCCCGACGGCGAGGGGCGAAAGCCGGGGGAGCGAACCGGAUUAGAUACCCGGGUAGUCCCGGCGGUAAACGAUGCGGGCUAGCUGUUGGGCGGGCUUAGAGCCCGCCCAGUGGCGCAGGGAAGCCGUUAAGUCCGCCGCCUGGGGAGUACGGCCGCAAGGCUGAAACUUAAAGGAAUUGGCGGG